rnacentral:rRNA from 1 species
GACGAACGCUGGCGGCGUGCUUAACACAUGCAAGUCGAACGGAAAGGCCCUGCUUUUGUGGGGUGCUCGAGUGGCGAACGGGUGAGUAACACGUGAGUAACCUGCCCUUGACUUUGGGAUAACUUCAGGAAACUGGGGCUAAUACCGGAUAGGAGCUCCUGCUGCAUGGUGGGGGUUGGAAAGUUUCGGCGGUUGGGGAUGGACUCGCGGCUUAUCAGCUUGUUGGUGGGGUAGUGGCUUACCAAGGCUUUGACGGGUAGCCGGCCUGAGAGGGUGACCGGCCACAUUGGGACUGAGAUACGGCCCAGACGCCUACGGGAGGCAGCAGGGGGGAAUAUUGCACAAUGGGCGGAAGCCUGAUGCAGCAACGCCGCGGGCGGGAUGACGGCCUUCGGGUUGUAAACCGCUUUCGCCUGGGACGAAGCGUGAGUGACGGUAAUGGGUAAAGAAGCACCGGCUAACUACGUG